rnacentral:sRNA from 1 species
GGCCGUGUAACCGAUGUGGGCCGCAGAGCCUUCGUUCGAACGGGUUUGUUGCAGAAGCUUUUGCGCUGGCGCGGUGGCGAGUUCCCCUGGCAGCCAGCCGAACCAUUCGAGGCGAAUGCCAUGGCCUUCGAUUUUGCGGACAAAGCAGCCAAAGGCGGACGGCUCAGUUUCCCCCGAGCCAUCCAGAUAGCCAGCCAACCC